GGCAACCACCACCUCCUCUGGCGACCCCUGGUAAGCUCCCCCCUCCUUCCUUUCUCUCUCUCUCUUUCUUCUCUCUUCCUCGAUCAAAGCUUGCAGUUUUAUGCGACGUACUUUUCUCUUGGUAGUGAUUUGGGGUUAUCUUUUUGGAAUUCUUACUGCAUUUUUUGCUAGUUUCUGCUUGUUUCCUUUAUAUUUUCAGCAGGAAUUAGAUUCCUUUGUGCUUAACAAUAUAAAAAUUCUGAACUUUCAACUGAGUUUUUCAUGUAUAUUGAACAAGAUCUGUAUAUUUGGAGUUAUUUCUUUGUAAUAUUCACUGCAUUUUAGCUUAAUUUAGUGGUGUUUUUCUCGGAACAAAAUUUUGACCCGUUUUCUCUCUGAUUUCAUCGACUCUGACGCUAAAAAAAUGAAUUUUCGAAAUUCAAAUGGGAUUUUCAAAUGAAAUUUCAAAAAAGAAAAUAAGAAGCUGUGGUUGAAAAAUUGUUGCUGCUCGUUGUUCAGAUCUGCCGUUCUGCGGUCCAGAGUUUCAGAUCUGGGUUUGGUGUGGAUCAGUUGAUUUUCCUUACAAAUAGGGCAAUCCUAGUCCAAGGUACUUGAAGCCUAGAUUCAUUUCCCUUACUAGUGUCAGGGCUAUACCAGUGGUAGCGGUGACAACCCUUUUUGGUUUUUGGAUCGGGAUAUUUGCUGUGUUUUUCAGGGGAAUUCUCGAAGUUGUUGGAGACAAUUUAGACCACGAGCACUAGCAAAGAAGAGCAACCUGGACGAGCGUAAGCAAAGAGCUGUCGGUGAGUUAACGUACAACUACUUCGAGUACAACAAUUCAACACAGGUUUGGUCCUCGAGACUUGGUACCUCCCGUUCUAUUAUUUCCCCUUUGGUGUUAGCUAAAUUGUUGUUACUUUAGUUCGCAAUAGUUCGAUCAUUCAACUAGUGUACUU
rnacentral:lncRNA from 1 species